AGCACCAGAGGCAAGUAGAUCUCCUGCAUUGUAUGAAGAGUUAUAUAAUUUCGAAUAAAGAAAGGAAAAGGACUUAUAAGAAAGAUGAAGUAAGCAAGAUUGCAAAAUUAUUUUAUGAUACAAUGAGAUGAGCCCUUUAUGUAGACAUACUAGAGAAAUGGUACAUAUAUAGAAGACUAUAUUCAGAAGACAAAUGAUUGGAAUGAUGCCAAAGUGGCCUUGACCUACA
rnacentral:misc_RNA from 1 species